CACUUGCUGUGUCUAUUGUUGUUUUUGUAGUUUGUUAUUAUAUCUGCGCACCAUUGUUGUUGUUGUUGUCUGCUUUAAUGUAAUUGAACAUUUUCUAAUUGACACUUGUCACUGGCAAAAACAUUUUCAGAACUUCAUUUUGACGCAUUUACACACACAUUUAUUUCAAUUUCCUUAACAACAAAAGCAGCAGUAACACGAACAACAGUAACAACAACAGCGAUUGCAAACACGCAUACAAAAACAAAAUAAAGUUGUAGCACAAUAGCUCCGCCUGACAAUGCUACACGAAACGUGGCUCGGAAUUUAUUGCAUUGGCUCCAUAAGGAGCGUCGAAAAGGGGGGGAGCGCUGCCUGCCCGCUGCUAUGCUGCAGUUAAGGAAGAAAAAACACGCCCGCACACAAUACCACCAAAGACUGGCAGUCAGUCGUGAGUCCAUACCGAACAGGCGAUGCAACUAAAUACAAAAACCACGUGAUAAUGUUUUCAGAACAGCAACAGCAACAACAAUGUGUAUGGGUCUACACCUCAAAUGGGAUUUGCCAAUAAAAAAAGAAGGCAGUAGCGUUGUCUAUGGUAUAUCGGGUGUUGCAGCAGCCAGCAACUUUGGUAUUUGUCGUACUUGCCACAUGGUGUAUUGCAAACCGCAUUAGCCUUCACCAAGCCGUGCAAAUGCCGAUGCAAAUAAAAAAAUUAAAAAGCAGGCAAAACGUACAGCAAAUAUUGGAUAACUAGGCGAAUGCGUAAUAUGUUAGCUUUACACAGAGUCAACAUGCUUUAAGGUUCUGCUCAACAGCCGGAAUGAGAAAGUGUGUGCUCAAUUGCUGGUAAAUCUUUAAAGUAAGGAUGAUGUAGUUUUUACUUUACAUUUGUCAAGAAAUUAAACUUAUAAGACUCUUAAAAAACAUUUAUUUUGGUGAUUCUUUAUGAAGCCCGCUCUGUACUAAAAUGUAGUUGUUUAUUUUAUAAAUAUAAAUUAAAAUAGCCCAGCUCUUGCAAAAUAA